CGGGGAUCCAGCAGGGUGGCCACCAAGUUAGAAUGUGGGCAACUCAGCAGUCGUUGCGCAGGCACUUUGGUGACUCUAGAUAACCUUGGGCCGAUUGCACUUCCCCGUGACGUCGACGACGCAUUCGGAUGUCUGCCCUAUCAACUUUCGAUGUUACUUUCUGCGCCUACCAUGGUGACCACGGGUAACGGGGAAUCAGGGUUCGAUUCCGGAGAGGGAGCCUGAGAAACGGCUACCACAUCCAAGGAAGACAGCAGGCGCGCAAAUUACCCACUCCCGAUGCGGGGAGGUAAUGACG